GGGAAGUGGGUGGGUCAGGGGCUGCGGGCGUCCCAGGUCUGCACUGCUCCCAGCCCGCCUCCUCCCUCUGCAGGCUCUCACCGCAUCACCGUCUCUAAUCCUCAACCUGGCCAGGACUCGAGGCUGCGUCACUGCAGAGAGUUGCAGAAGUGGGGCCCGUCCUGCGGACCAGGGAGGUAGUUUACCUCAACUCCCCCCACUGCCCCCUGAUCCACUGUUCUCAGGCAGUCCUCAAGCCCCCGUGGGACCCAGGAGGGUAGAGAAAAGACAUCGGGGCUUCCUACUCUGCUCUGCCCCGGAUUCUGGUGUCUCCCCAGGCAGAAGCAGUGAAUCCUGAGAGAGCCGGACACUAACUUUUUUCUGAAAAAAAUCACGCGCUUAAAAAAAAAAGGGGGGCUUCCCUGGUGGCGCAGUGGUUGAGAGUCCGCCUGCCGAUGCAGGGGACACGGGUUCGUGCCCCGGUCAGGGAAGAUCCCACAUGCCGCGGAGCGGCUACGCCCGUGAGCCAUGGCGGCUGA